rnacentral:rRNA from 1 species
AGCAUGUGGUUCAAUUCGAUGCAACGCGAAGAACCUUACCAGGUCUUGACAUCCCGAUGCUAUUUCUAGAGAUAGAAAGUUACUUCGGUACAUCGGUGACAGGUGGUGCAUGGUUGUCGUCAGCUCGUGUCGUGAGAUGUUGGGUUAAGUCCCGCAACGAGCGCAACCCCUAUUGUUAGUUGCCAUCAUUCAGUUGGGCACUCUAGCGAGACUGCCGGUAAUAAACCGGAGGAAGGUGGGGAUGACGUCAAAUCAUCAUGCCCCUUAUGACCUGGGCUACACACGUGCUACAAUGGUUGGUACAACGAGUUGCGAGUCGGUGACGGCGAGCUAAUCUCUUAAAGCCAAUCUCAGUUCGGAUUGUAGGCUGCAACUCGCCUACAUGAAGUCGGAAUCGCUAGUAAUCGCGGAUCAGCACGCCGCGGUGAAUACGUUCCCGGGCCUU